rnacentral:misc_RNA from 1 species
AAAAAAGUUCCUUUGUGAAAGUUGCAUUGCUUGCAAAUAUGACCAACAAAUAUACACAUAGCAGCAGCCAUUGUUAUUCAUGUUGGAAUCAACAAAGAAAUACAAAUGUAUAUUCACUUCUUAUGCCCCAGAAAACAAAAGUAAGGCCCUCUCGUUGUCAUUUGAAUGUUAGGUUUUUAAUUCAGUGAAAGAAUCCCUCACAUAAUUUUGGUGCUAAUGCUACUUCAAAGACUAAAAACACUCCCAAGCUCAUGCUAUAAACCACCUUCGUCGAGUAAUUGCCUCUUGAAUCUCCUUGUGCACAUGGGCAAUCAAAAGUUUAUCUUUCAAGUUUGUGUCGAUGCAUAUGAUUUUCUGAAAAAUUAAACUAAUUAAAAUACAAAAACACCCAACAACCUACUUCCUUGAAAGAAGUGCAGCACGACACAGUAUGACACAAGGCGCCCACACUCUAGAGCGCCCACAAUGAGCAAACCUAAUUGCAGAUCGAGGCAAGUUUUCUGUACCCACACCAGAGCCUCGUGAUUUUAUUAGAUAGCUGGAUACAGAAUAUUUACAAAUUCACCAGAGAGUGUAAAUAAGUAAGUUUUAAGGUUUCCCAAUCGGAUGGCAUUACUUAUUAUACAGCAAGUCCAUCAAGCUGGAACAGGUUCCGGAACUUUUCCAUUGUCCGCCGGUGCCAAACUGUCGUAGUAUUCAACCAACACCUUCCACCCACCAGGGCACAUAAACCCAUCAGGAGGGUUCUCUUUGUUCUUUGCAAGUGUUCGCAUCUUGGUACCAGAUAUGAAGAGAAAGUCUUGAGGCCUUGUGGGAUCAAAGAAUGCCAUUUUACCCUGAGUCUUAUCAUAUGCAGCAACCUUGAAAGGAAGGAUGUUUAGCCGCUCCAAUCCAGGAGCCAUACUCAACACCUUCUUCCCAUGGUCGGCAUCAUAUAAAUCUCUUUUCUCAACAGGAUGGCUCAUUCCAGCUGGAUCUCUACCCACAAUGUAAAAGUUAGCUCCUGCAUUAAUCCGAGCUUUUGCAUGCCACUGCACCUCAGUUGGACCAGCAUAGUACAUGGGAGAUGGAAAUAUAGAAACCACUGUCGUCUCUGGAUCAAGUACUCCAUCUUCAAGCACCUUCUCAUGUUGCUUCAUUCGCCAACUAAGUGGAACAUCAUCUGCCUUUGUGUAGCCUCCCAAUGGAUGAAGCAAAAGGACAGGGUUCUUAUAACCCAUCUCAAGAAGCCGCCUGCGAGUAUCUGUCAUUAGUAAAGCAUGGCCAUUGUGCACAGGAUUUCUGAGCUGAAAAGCAAAGACAGCAUCUGCAUCGCGCUUAGUCAAUUCCUCACGGAGUUCUGCAGGUGAUAGUCGAAACCGAUCCAGACCAUCAUGGUACUUAAUUGGUUCUAUAACUUCCAAGUCCCCUCCAAUCAGCCAAUUACCAGACUUGGCUAUAGCUUCUUCAACAUAAGGUAGACCAGGGGCAGUAGUUCCCCAUGUUCUUGCAAUCCGUUCUUCUUUGGGGUGCUUGUAGAUCUCAAUAUCGCUCAAAAUCGCAACGGUAUUAUCAUCAGAGUCAACGAGGGCGACCCUUUUGGACUCCCCGAUCCGCUGCUUCUGCAAAUCGUCGAUGGCGAGCACAAUCGGCACCGACAUGUUAACAACCGACCCGUCUUCCAGACGGAGAGAGUUGAAAUGAAGAGUUUGGAGGAACUCGGAUUCUCUCAUGAAUCCUUGGAGUGGACUGGCCCAACCUUCGCUCAACACAUGAACCCAUUGUAAAUCAAUCUUCGUUAACUUAAUCUUAGGCAAUGAAAUUGCCUCUCUCCUCUUAACAUCCUUCUGGGACUUGUCAACGAAUAGCUCAACCAGUUUGCCACCGUCCGGUUCGAUCAAGCCGGCUCGAAUUCGGACCACCCUUUUCUGCUGAAGUUUGGGAGUACAGGACAGUGUAAGAGGAAGAACGAAACGGGUAUUGAAGGAUUUGGGGAGGGAGUGAGGAGGAAACGGGCUUUUGGUGAAGAGGUCGGUCAUGGAAGCCAUUGAUAGAACUCAGAAGACAGGAGACAACCAGAGGAAGAGCUCUCGGGUUGUUGGUUUUUGAGCGGUAGUUUGGUUUGGAGUAUAUAAGGUUUAAUAAUGAAAAAAAAAAGGAGGGUAUUUUGGGGAAAAUGGAGGGCAACGUUUAUCAAAUGAAAGAGCCCGAAGGAAGGUGAUCUGCUGCGGGUGUGAGUUGGAGACAGUGACAAGAAUUGGAUUGGAGUUGGAUUUUAUAUACAGAGGAAUGAAUG